CAGGUUUUAUAUUCUUCGCAAACCUUUUCUUUUUUCUGUCUUUUUUUUUCUUUUCAAUACUUCGAAUUUUGGUUUUUUUUUCUUUAUUUGAUGAAUUCUGAACCAUCUUGCUUCGUUGGCUUGAAGACUUUUCAUCAUUUGAAACCUGAAAAAGAGAACGAGAAUGAUUGUAUAGAAAAAGAUUCAUAUCUUUGUAUAAUAUGUGUAGAGAAUAUAGGAUUAGCUGCUAUUGUUGAAUUUACGUACGAUUGUAAAUUAACGGAGGUUGAACAACCAGAUUUUUGUUCAUGUUCAUUUUUAAGAUUGUUCGUGUUAGGUUUGUAUUUGUAAAUAAUUUCAAAAUGUUUUCAUGUUAAUUUAUUUAAAAUUAUGUGUUUAUGUUCUUGAACAAACAUAUUUGUGAAAAUUAAACAAAAUGUUCACGAAGAACAUAUUCAGGAACAAUGUUUAUAAAAUAAUAAACAAACAAUUAAUGAAUAAACACAUACAUAUAUAUAUAUAUUAUAUUUUAGAUAUAAAAUAAUUAAAUGUUUAUAUUUAUAUAAAUAAAAUAAGCACACAAACAAUAAUAAUUUUAUUAAUAUAUAAUAAUCAAACAAUAAACAAGUUUUAAAUGAGCUUUAUAUGAUUUAAUAAACGAGCUUUAAAUGAACAUAAACAAAUUUAUUCAUCAGCAUAAAUCAACCGACCAUACUUUGUUCGUGUUUAGUUCGUUUAAUAAAGGAGCUUCAAAAUUUUGUUAACAUUUGUUUAUUUAGCUUAAUAAACAAACAGAAACUAAACUGCUCGCGAGCUCUCCCCUUGUCCUCAAUGGUUAUGCACUUGUCAUCUAAACUUUAACAAGGUUCAACAGAGCUGUUAAGCAGAAGAAACCAAAUAAAUUAAACUGCUCAUGAACUGUUCUUCGAAUGCUUUGUUUAUGUUUAAGGUUGAUGAUCUUUUAUGUUUAUGUCAUGGAUUAAUUAAUUUUCUGGUUGAUUUUCAGGGUGCAAGUAACGUACCGGAGGAUUUCGUUGCACAACAGUUAAAGUCUGUGCUCUCUGAUAUGCAAGUUGAUGUGGUAAGACAUAGUUAAUAUGUUGAGCUUUAAGUACUUAGUUAUGAGUAACUCAUAGCCAUAAUUGGGGCUUACUACUGUUUCCCAGUUAUGGUCUUUUCAAGUAUUAGGUAUAACUGCAAAAUAAUUCAGCUUAAGCUUUAUCAUCUAUGGUAUUAGGUGAAAACAGGCAUGCUACCUUCUGUUGGCAUAGUCAAGACACUUUGUAGGACGCUCAGGGAAUAUCCUGUCCAUGGUACGCAGUGGAAAUAAAUUUUGAAACUGUGUUUUUUGAGUUGCAAUUUUAGUUGACAUUUCUCUGGUAACCGAAGGCAGCUUUGGUGGUU
rnacentral:lncRNA from 1 species